ACUGAACGCUGGCGGCAUGCUUUACACAUGCAAGUCGAACGGCAGCGCGGGCUUCGGCCUGGCGGCGAGUGGCGAACGGGUGAGUAAUGCAUCGGAACGUGCCCAGUAGUGGGGGAUAGCCCGGCGAAAGCCGGAUUAAUACCGCAUACGACCUGAGGGUGAAAGCGGGGGACCGAAAGGCCUCGCGCUAUUGGAGCGGCCGAUGUCGGAUUAGCUAGUUGGUGGGGUAAAGGCUUACCAAGGCGACGAUCCGUAGCUGGUCUGAGAGGACGACCAGCCACACUGGGACUGAGACACGGCCCAGACUCCUACGGGAGGCAGCAGUGGGGAAUUUUGGACAAAGGGGGCAACCCUGAUCCAGCCAUGCCGCGUGCGGGAAGAAGGCCUUCGGGUUGUAAACCGCUUUUGUUCGGGAAGAAAUCCUCUGGGCUAAUACCCCGGGGGGAUGACGGUACCGGAAGAAUAAGCACCGGCUAACUACGUG
rnacentral:rRNA from 1 species